UACUGUAAGGCACAGCAAAUUUUUCAGCGUGUCAAAAUAACAAUGAAAUGGGCUUAAAACAACAAUUAAUAGUAUAAUCUGACCAUCAACCAGUUAGAGAAAAAAAGCUAUAUCCCUCCCAGCCAAUUCUAAACUAUUUUUGUAGUGUUAUCUCCUAUUUUUGCAGUUUUAUCUCCUACAAUACAAAAUAGAGUCUAACUGAAUUUUUAAAUGUCUAAAAUGAUUUCCUACUAUAAAAUUCACUGACUUAAGAUUGUUCCCCUCUUCUGCCUUUUUUUGAAAUAUACAUGGGAGUCUUUACUGAAUAAGGGGUGCUUUAAAAAAUCUGUGUACUUUCUAUGACAUAUACUUAUAUUUUGUAUUUCUACGUUAGUUAAUGAUGCAGAGAUGGGUAUUUUAAAACUCGAAGUCCAUGGCCCUCAUGGAACUUAUUUUCUAAGAAAUGAAACAGGUAGUUCAGUUGACCCGUGAACCACUCGGCUUGGAACUGUGUGGGUUCACUUAUAGUCAAAAUUUCCUGUGCCUCUGCCACUCCUGAGACAGAAAGAGUAAUCCCUCUAAUUCCUCCUCUUCCUAAGCCUAAUCAACCUGAAGAUGACGAGGAUGAAAACCUUUCUGAUGAUCCACUUCCAUUUAAUGAAUAGUUCAAAGUGUUGCAAUGUGUACAAAAUAAGAGGAGUGUCUGUGCCUUUGAAAGGUAAAUGUUUGUAGAAUCUCAAAGUUUAGAACAAAUAUUACCUAUGCAACAAAAAUGACAUCUGCUAAGUAAGCCUACAAAAUACUACUAAACAACACCAAACACAUUUCUUCAUAAUAAAAUGAAAUUUGACUAGAAUUGUAAGUGGUGUUUUGCUUAAUAAAAUCUCAAUGUCAGAAGUUA